rnacentral:rRNA from 1 species
AGUGAAUCAUCAGUUUUUGAACGCACAUUGCACUUUGGGGUAUCCCCCAAAGUAUACUUGUUUGAGCGUUGUUU